AAUGAACGCUGGCGGCAUGCCUAACACAUGCAAGUCGAACGGCACCACAGUGAGAUCUUGCUCUUACGGGUGGCGGGUGGCGGACGGGUGACGAAUGCAUCGUAUACUACUCUUUCGGGGGUGAUAACGUAGGAAAACUUACUCUAAUACAGCAUAUAUCGUACUGGUUAGAGCAAUGGAUCUUCUAGCCUUUCGCGAUGGUAUUAGCCGAUGUCGGAUUAGCUAGUUGGCUGGGUAAAGGCCCACCAUGGCGACGCUCCGUAGCUCAUCCGAGAGGAUGAUCAGCCACACGGGAACUGAGACACGGUCCAGACUCCUGCGGGAGGCAGCAGUGGGGAAUCUUGCGCAAUGGGCGAAAGCCUGAUACAGCAAUACCGCGUGAGUGAAGAAGGAGUUCGGGUUGUAAAGCCCUGUUGUCGGGAAAGAACAGAAGCAGGUUUAUCCGCGGCUGUAAUGACGGUACCGAAAGAAUAAGCACCGGCUAACUUCGUG
rnacentral:rRNA from 1 species